UAAGGAAUAUUGCGCAAUGGGCGAAAGCCUGACGCAGCGACGCCGCGUGGGGGAUGAAGGUCUUCGGAUUGUAAACCCCUUUCGGGAGGGAAGAUGGAGUGGGGUAACCCAUUCGGACGGUACCUCCAGAAGCAGCCACGGCUAACUUCGUGCCAGCAGCCGCGGUAAUACGAAGGUGGCAAGCGUUAUUCGGAUUUACUGGGCGUACAGGGAGCGUAGGCGGUUCGGUAAGCCCUCUGUGAAAUCUCCAGGCUUAACCUGGAAAAGUCGGGGGGGACUGCUGGGCUAGAGGACGGGAGAGGAGCGCGGAAUUCCCGGUGUAGCGGUGAAAUGCGUAGAGAUCGGGAGGAAGGCCGGUGGCGAAGGCGGCGCUCUGGAACGUUUCUGACGCUGAGGCUCGAAAGCGUGGGGAGCAAACAGG
rnacentral:rRNA from 1 species